UAUUUGUUUGUCUUGAAUUGAUUCAAGUUGAUUGUUUUAUGUUUUGAUUGUUUUGAUUUUCGGGUAUCUGCUUGUUGAGUUUGUCAAAUUUAAAGAGUUUAAUGUUGUCGUUGAAGACCUUUCAGCCUGUGUGCAAUUAAACAUGGAUAAUAAGUUUGCCUACACAUAUUUGGGUUUAGCAUUAUCUUCAAUUGGUGAAUAUAAGAAAGCUGAGGAUGCACAUAUAAAAUCACUUCAAAUUGAUAGAAAUUUUCUUGAAGCAUGGGCACACCUGACUCAGAUUUAUUCUGAACAUGAGGUUUUUGGCAGUUCUAUCAAGAUAUAUCAAAGCCAACAAAAGCUCAAGAAUGUCUAAGUCAGAUGUUGCAAAUUGAUGGAAGGUAAUUGUUGUUAAUGAAAUGGUAUCAUUGGCAUCACAAGCAUUUUAGCUGGUAAUUGGUUUAUAAAGUUUGAAGUACUUUAUGCAUGUUUGCUCUUUAUCAGCAGCUGAUUACUUGUGUUGUAUGUUAGGUUUUCCAGAGCUCAUAAUUUGCGUGACGUUUUGUUCCAUGCUAUGGGACAACAUAGGAAGGCGAUCAAUGAUUUGUCAAUGGGUUUGAGCGUUGAUGGCCCCAAUGUUGAGUGUUUAUAUUUGCGAGCUUCAUGCUACCAUGCUCUUGAAGAAUACAAAGAGGUGGUAAGGUUUAACUCUUAACUUUUUGGGAGAAAUAUUGAUUCACAUUUGUCACUCAGCAACUUCAUUUAUGAUCUCAGGUCAAGGAUUAUGAUGUUGCUCUAGAUUUGGAAUUGGACUCAAUGGAUAAGUUUGUGCUUCAAUGCAUUUUACCAGGUUUGUAUAUUGUAAAAUAUUAUAUUUGUACAACUUCUGCUUUUCCCCUUAAUUCUAUUUUAUUCAUCUCUCAGAAUUCUGCAUAAACUAUUGUUGUUUCAUAAUAAAAAUAUGCUGAAAAU